UGGGGAAUUUUGGACAAUGGGCGCAAGCCUGAUCCAGCCAUGCCGCGUGAGUGAAGAAGGCCUUCGGGUUGUAAAGCUCUUCGCGAGGGAAGAAAAGGCCGCAGAUAAUACCUGUGGUCCAUGACGGUACUUUGAUAAGAAGCACCGGCUAACUACGUGCCAGCAGCCGCGGUAAUACGUAGGGUGCGAGCGUUAAUCGGAAUUACUGGGCGUAAAGCGAGCGCAGGCGGUUCUAAAAGCCAGAUGUGAAAUCCCCGAGCUCAACUUGGGAACUGCGUUUGGAACUCUAGGACUAGAGUGUGUCAGAGGGAGGUAGAAUUCCACGUGUAGCAGUGAAAUGCGUAGAGAUGUGGAGGAACACCGAUGGCGAAGGCAGCCUCCUGGGAUAACACUGACGCUCAUGCUCGAAAGCGUGGGAGCAAA
rnacentral:rRNA from 1 species